GUAAGUCCUUAACAUUGAAUUUCUGCUUUUUCCAUGCAAUUUUUUUACUCUGUUUCUUGUUGCUUGAAUUGUGCUGUUGAUUGAUUUUAUCCUCAUCUAUAGAAAUCAGAAUUCUUUUCGUUGUGAUCCUGACUUCUUAUAUCUGAAGUUAAGAUUUUUGUUAAUUAUGUGUAAUAAAUACUUGAUUUUUCAGUUGCCACUCUCCUUGUGGACAGAGCUUUGUUGGUUAAAUUUGUGUAUUUCUUUUGAUUUUUCUUUUGGUCAAAUCCUCCAAAUUGAAUCAGAUGGGAAAUAAUGCUCUAUUGGCAUUAGGAUCAUUGAGAAAUUGAUGCAGUUUUUAGUGGGUGAAUUGCUGUAAUCAAAACAAGGGAAUGAAAAACAUAUACGAAUAAAUGAUAUCAGUACAAUUUGAGACCAACCUAUUGAAGAAAUGUUGUAAAUACAUGGCAUGGCAUUAAAAGCCAAUCAAAGAAUUUGAAAAUUCUGUGGUGUUAAAUUUACAAUGAUACACCUCUUUAAUUUUUAUAUGGCACUGCUGAAACAGAGUUGAGAGCAUUCGCAUGACUGACACGAGUCCAUUAGAUUGGUGAUUGUUGCAGUGUGUGAAUGGAAACUCCAAUGCAACCCAAAGGCUGAUGAACACAUUUCUCAAAUGCAUGAUUGAAUUAAAUCCCAAAGGUCCCUUGGCCCAUUUUUCCAUUCCUAGUUGGAGCUUCUGCAGACUGUCCUGGCUCAUCUAGACUUUAGAUCGGGCCAAAUUAGGCAGCAAGAUAAUGAAACAUGUAAUUAACCAGAAUAAUCAGUUACACUAAAUUUAAGUUGUUGUCUCCAUCUGUUUGACCAAGUAAAUCUCCUUAGAUGUCAAUGGAUUGAGGUCAAGGUAAUUUGAAAAUGGGAGAGUACAAUGUUUUUAUAGUAAGUUUAUUUUUUCGGCAUACUAGUCAACCAUACGAGGACAUAACCAGGGGUUUUUAGUAUAGGUGGGUUAAUAAAUUGUCCAGCAUCGGUAACCCAGACAAUCCUGUUAGGAUUAACCAAUAGAAAUAUUUGGUUUCAAUUGUGAAUGGGUUCCUUAUGAAGUGCUUUCCUAUUUGGUUUUCCAACAUUUAUAGAGCUCACAGGUAAUUGCAUACUUAUUUAGCUCCUAGGAUCUCUCUAAUUGGAGGUAAGCGUGUAAUCUAGUUUAGCUAAAAGCUAGUGUUUAUGUGAUGGACACUGUAUAUAUAAUGGACCCUUGAAACUCAAGCUUGUUUGUGAUAUUGCAUAAUGGAAAAUGCUCAAGGUGAGCCAAUCCUGGUUAAAAACUGCUAGUAGAGGAAGGCUUCUUACAGAUGAUAGAAAUAGGGCUAAAGAGAGGUGCCAAAGGGAAUUGACAGUGUUGGGUUAUUCCUGAUUUUGUCAGUUUGCCUAUUUUGGGAAGUUCAGGUUCAUGCUUCCUACGGCUCAAGUAUGGUUCAAAAUAUUUUUAGAUGGAAGCAAAUCUUGGAUGGGUAAAUGGUUCUUCCAUAGUGUUGCUAAAUAUAGCUCAGCAACUAACACUUCUUUGUCCAUCAGUUAUUUCCUGUCUGGAGAUCACAAAUAAUAUGUUUGGUCUGAUAGUUCUAGGCAUGCAUGAACUUGAUUUAUAAAGUGCACCAGGAUGUCAUGCAUUGUAGGAUCCCAGAUGUCACAGUUCGACAUCUGGGAUGAUGAUACACUUGAAAUGCGAUCUAAAGAGAACUCUGGACAAACAUCAUCCCUGAUCUCCAUGGUGCUUGACCUGUUAAAUUUUGAGCAAAAAUAUGGUCAGAUUCGGUCAGAAUGUUGUGUGCUUGUGUAUUCCUAUAUUUUUUGCCACUGGUGGAGCAGGAGGCGGGGGAGGUAAAGAUAUCAUGUUCAGAUAAAUGAAUAUUAUUAUGGGUGAUGAGCAACUGUUCAUGAUAAUCCACCUGAUAUUGGAUCGGAGUGGAUGGCGUUGUUGACCACACUCUUGAUGAAUCGAGUAAUUUUCCCCUGAUGGCCAUACAUGCCCUAUAAUUUUUGCUGGAUCUCUUGCCUUAACUAGGAAAUGCAAUCUUCCUGAUUGGUUGCGUUUCCUUUAUGUUAAUCAAUCACCAUUUGGUUUUCACUGGACUGCCUACUUCACCUGACAUCCUAUAAUUUUCAUGGUGACUCCUUUAUUUAUUUUAAAAUUUUGAAUCGCAUUAUGUAUCAACAUCUGGUUCUUAAUGUUUUAUUCUUUUCUUCUUUGAAAUUUUAGAUGCAGAUAGUAUUUCUGAUUUUCCUGCUUCCAGUGUAUCUGCAAAAGAAUUGAUGCCAACUGAAGCUAGUCUUAGAAAAGAUGAUGCACCUUUACCACCAGCUACUUCUCUUCCUCCAAAAUACGCUUUCUACAAUAUGAACUCUUCAAGUGGCCGGCGUGAUUCACUUUCAAAUGAUCACCACCGAAAUAACCUCGAGGCUGCACUCCUUGGCAACUUGAAAAUCAAUGAUGAGUUUCAGUUUGGAAAGACAUCAAAGAAAGAUGGAAUUGAGAGCUUAGAAAGCAUUGUACGAAUUAAAGAAGCAGAAGCCAGAAUGUUCCAGAGCAAGGCAGAUGAAGCACAAAGAGAGGCAGAAGGCUACCGGCGGAUGAUUCGGGCGAACUCUGAGAAGUUGGAGGAAGAGUAUGCAGAAAAGCUUGCGAAACUGUGUUUGCAGGAGACUGAGGAAAGGCGGAGGAAAAAAUUGGAAGAACUGAAGGCUUUAGAAAAUUCACAUUCUGAUUACUACAACAUGAAGUUAAGAAUGCAAGCUGAGAUUGCUGGUUUGCUGGAGAGAAUGGAGGCCACAAAACAGCAAUGGGUGUAAUUUAAUCCUAUUUUCCCCUUUCUUUUCUUUUAUUUUUGUUGACAGAGAUUAACUUAUAGUGUGUAAUUUGUUUACAUCUUCACCAACCAACAACUUAAUCGUUUUUCUCCGAAUGCUAAAAGGCAUGGUUUUUUCAGUUGCAAAAUUCAAGCUUUGGAAGUUCAUGGCUUUAUUGGAAAGAGCAAUGAAAAACCAGAAAGAAAAAAAAAUGGUUGUUUGUAUAUUUCAAUUUGUUUUUAUAUUGUUGGAUUUCAUAGGACAUCAAAUGUGAC
rnacentral:misc_RNA from 1 species